CUUUCUUUGCUGGCGACCGGCGCACGGGUGAGUAACACGUAUCCAACCUGCCCUUUACUCGGGGAUAGCCUUUCGGAAGAAAGAUUAAUACCCGAUAGCAUAAUGAUUCCGCAUGGUUUCAUUAUUAAAGGAUUCCGGUAAAGGAUGGGGAUGCGUUCCAUUAGGUUGUUGGUGAGGUAACGGCCCACCAAGCCUUCGAUGGAUAGGGGUUCUGAGAGGAAGGUCCCCCACAUUGGAACUGAGACACGGUCCAA
rnacentral:rRNA from 1 species